rnacentral:ncRNA from 2 species
CUACCUCGAACGGGAGAGACCUCUCACAGGCGCCGAAGGAGCAACCCUCCCCGGAAACUCUCAGGCAAACGGACCGUUCGAGCAGG